AAUGAAGAACGUAGCGAAAUGCGAUAAGUAAUGCGAAUUGCAGAAUUCAGUGAAUCAUCGAAUCUUUGAACGCACAUUGCGCCCGCCAGUAUUCUGGCGGGCAUGCCUGUCUGAGCGUCGUUUCGACCCUCGCGCCCGGCUUCUGUCGGGGGCGGUGUUGGGGAUCGGCCACACCCUUCAGUGGGAGGCCGGCCCCUAAAUUCAGUGGCGACCACGCUGUAGCCUCCCCUGCGUAGUACUAAAACCACCUCGCAGGCGGAGAGCGGUGCGGCCCGCCGUAAAACCCCCCAACUUUUACAAGGUCAACCUCAGAUCAGGUAGGAAUACCCGCUGAACUUAAGCAUAUCAAUAAGCGGAGGA
rnacentral:misc_RNA from 1 species